rnacentral:misc_RNA from 1 species
AGUUGAUUAAAUAAUCAAGUCAAACACAAAAACAAUACAAGGUGUUUAUAAGUUCACGAAUUUCAAUGGUAACAGUGUAAGGCCUAGGAUAACAGAAGGUUCCAUUAUGAUCUGCGUUCUAUAUGUUAGAUCAGGAAAUUUUGACUAAUAAUAAGAAGUGGUUUAAUCCAAAUCACCACGUUUCAUAAAUUUCCCUUUUUUUUUGGGA